CUACCUUCGAAUUGGGGAUAACGUUACGAAAGUGACGCUAAUACCGGAUAAUAUCAUAGGGACUUCGGUUCUUAUGAUCAAAGAUGGCCUCUCCUUGGAAGCUAUUGUUUGGAGAUGAGCCCGCGUCCCAUUAGCUUGUUGGUAGGGUAAUGGCCUACCAAGGCGACGAUGGGUAGCUGGUCUGAGAGGAUGAUCAGCCACACUGGAACUGACACACGGUCCAG
rnacentral:rRNA from 1 species